rnacentral:rRNA from 1 species
GAAAGUAAAUAAGGGCGCAUGGCGGAUGCCUUGGCUCUCGGAGGCGAUGAAGGACGUGAUAAGCUGCGAUAAGCUUCGGGUAGGUGCAAAUAACCUUUGAUCCGAAGAUUUCCGAAUGGGACAACCCGGCAUUCUGAAGGAAUGUCAUCCAACUAAGUUGGAGGCUAACGCAGGGAACUGAAACAUCUUAGUACCUGCAGGAAAAGAAAAUAAAUAAUGAUUCCCCUAGUAGUGGCGAGCGAACGGGGAUUAGCCCAAACCACCCAUGUUACGGCAUGUGUGGGGUUGUAGGACCACGCUCUCGCAAGACAGUUAUUGAGAAGAAACGACUGGAAAGUCGUGCCAUAGACGGUGAUAGCCCGGUAUUCUAAGGUAACCGAAGCGUAGUGGUAUCCUGAGUAGCGCGGAGCACGAGGAAUUCUGCGUGAAUCAGCCGGGACCAUCCGGUAAGGCUAAAUACUCCCGAGAGACCGAUAGCGAACCAGUACUGUGAAGGAAAGGUGAAAAGCACUUCGAAUAGAAGAGUGAAAUAGUCCCUGAAACCAUGCGCCUACAAGCGGUCGGAGCAGCUUAAGUUGUGACGGCGUGCCUUUUGCAUAAUGAACCUACGAGUUACUUUUUCCGGCAAGGUUAAGGAUCUUGAGAUCCGCAGCCGAAGCGAAAGCGAGUCUUAACAGGGCGAUUAGUCGGAAGGAGUAGACGCGAAACCAAGUGAUCUACCCUUGGUCAGGUUGAAGGUUAGGUAACACUAACUGGAGGACCGAACCGAUAAGCGUUGAAAAGCUUCCGGAUGACCUGAGGGUGGGGGUGAAAGGCUAAUCAAACUUGGAGAUAGCUCGUACUCCCCGAAAUGCAUUUAGGUGCAGCCUUGAGAGUUACUAAUGUGAGGUAGAGCGACUGAUAAGAUGCGAGGGCUUCACCGCCUAUCAAGUCUUGAUAAACUCCGAAUGCGCAUUAGUUCUAUCACAGGAGUGAGGGCAUGGGUGCUAAGGUCCAUGUCCUAAAGGAGAAGAAUCCAGACCAUCAGCUAAGGUCCCCAAAUAAACACUAAGUUGAACUAACGAAGUCAGAUUGCUAAGACAGCUAGGAUGUUGGCUUGGAAGCAGCCAUUCAUUUAAAGAGUGCGUAACAGCUCACUAGUCGAGGAGUUUGGCGUGGAUAAUAAUCGGGCAUAAGUGUUUUACCGAAGCUAUGGGAUACGUAAGUAUCGGUAGGGGAGCAUUCCACUCUGCGUUGAAGGCGAAGCGUGAGCUUUACUGGAGCGUGUGGAAAAGCAAAUGUAGGUAUAAGUAACGAUAAAGGGGGUGAGAAACCCCCUCGCCGCAAGACUAAGGUUUCCUGAUCAACGCUAAUCGGAUCAGGGUUAGUCGGGUCCUAAGGCUCAGCCGAACGGUGAGGCCGAUGGCAGAACAGGUUAAUAUUCCUGUACUACCUUAAGGAGUGACGUGGAGACGGAGGAGUGACAGCGCCGCGGACUGACGGAAUAGUCCGUUGAAGGGUGUAGAUGUUGAUUAUCCCAGGCAAAUCCGGGAUAAGAGUCGAACCUGAUAGUAUACCAAUUUCCUCGGAAAACGGUAAUAGUGCGUGUAAACAUACUCCCAAGAAAAUCCGCUAAACUUAAUCUUAUAGGUACCCGUACCGUAAACGGACACACGUAGUCGGGUUGAAUAUACUCAGGCGCUUGAGUGAAUCACGGUUAAGGAACUAGGCAAAUUGACCCUGUAACUUCGGGAUAAAGGGUCCCUACCCGGUGACGGGAGGGCGCAGAGAAUAGGUCCAGGCAACUGUUUAACAAAAACACAGGGCUGUGCCAAAUUGAAAGAUCACGUAUACAGCCUGACACCUGCCCGGUGCUGGAAGGUUAAGAGGAGAUGUCAUCGCAAGAGAAGCAUUGAAUUGAAGCCCCAGUAAACGGCGGCCGUAACUAUAACGGUCCUAAGGUAGCGAAAUUCCUUGUCGGGU